rnacentral:rRNA from 1 species
UACGUAGGGGGCGAGCGUUGUCCGGAGUUACUGGGCGUAAAGCGCACGCAGGCGGUCUGCUAAGUUUGGAGUGACAGUUGGUGGCUUAACUGCCAAAGUGCUUCGAAAACUGACAGACUCGAGGGCUUCAGAGGGACACGGAAUUCCGGGUGGAGUGGUGAAAUGCGUAGAGAUCCGGAGGAACACCAAAGGCGAAGGCAGUGUCCUGGGGAGUACCUGACGCUCAGGUGCGAAAGCCAGGGGAGCGAACGGG